rnacentral:rRNA from 1 species
GGGCCAGACUCCUACGGGAGGCAGCAGUGGGGGAUAUUGCACAAUGGGGGGAACCCUGAUGCAGCGACGCCGCGUGGGUGAAGGAGCACCUCGGUGCGUAAAGCCCUAUCGGCAGGGAAGAAACAGACGGUACCUGACUAAGAAGCCCCGGCUAACUACGUGCCAGCAGCCGCGGUAAUACGUAGGGGGCAAGCGUUAUCCGGAUUCACUGGGUGUAAAGGGAGCGUAGACGGCGACGCAAGUCUGGAGUGAAAGCCCGGGGCCCAACCCCGGGACUGCUCUGGAAACUGCGGCGCUGGAGUACGGGAGGGGCAGGCGGAAUUCCUGGUGUAGCGGUGAAAUGCGUAGAUAUUAGGAGGAACACCAGUGGCGAAGGCGGCCUGCUGGACGAUGACUGACGCUGAGGCUCGAAAGCGUGGGGAGCAAACAGGAUUAGAUACCCCCGUAAG